CAAAACAAAUUCAAAACGUACAAUCCAACCUCUUGGAAGCGGGAAAUAAUAAUGAAGAAAGAAAAAGGAAUGAAUAAGGAUACAUUUGUGCAGUUUUAUCGGUU
rnacentral:ribozyme from 1 species